GGUUAAGCGACUAAGCGUACACGGUGGAUGCCCUGGCAGUCAGAGGCGAUGAAGGGCGUGCUAAUCUGCGAUAAGCGCCGGUAAGGUGAUAUGAACCGUUAUAACCGGCGAUACCCGAAUGGGGAAACCCAGUGUGAUUCGUCACACUAUCAUUAACUGAAUCCAUAGGUUAAUGAGGCGAACCGGGGGAACUGAAACAUCUAAGUACCCCGAGGAAAAGAAAUCAACCGAGAUUCCCCCAGUAGCGGCGAGCGAACGGGGAGGAGCCCAGAGCCUGAAUCAGCAUGUGUGUUAGUGGAAGCGUCUGGAAAGGCGCGCGAUACAGGGUGACAGCCCCGUACACAAAAGCGCAUGUGCUGUGAGCUCGAUGAGUAGGGCGGGACACGUGGUAUCCUGUCUGAAUAUGGGGGGACCAUCCUCCAAGGCUAAAUACUCCUGACUGACCGAUAGUGAACCAGUACCGUGAGGGAAAGGCGAAAAGAACCCCGGCGAGGGGAGUGAAAAAGAACCUGAAACCGUGUACGUACAAGCAGUGGGAGCACCCUUCGGGGUGUGACUGCGUACCUUUUGUAUAAUGGGUCAGCGACUUAUAUUCUGUAGCAAGGUUAACCGUAUAGGGGAGCCGGAGGGAAACCGAGUCUUAACCGGGCGUUAAGUUGCAGGGUAUAGACCCGAAACCCGGUGAUCUAGCCAUGGGCAGGUUGAAGGUUGGGUAACACUAACUGGAGGACCGAACCGACUAAUGUUGAAAAAUUAGCGGAUGACCUGUGGCUGGGGGUGAAAGGCCAAUCAAACCGGGAGAUAGCUGGUUCUCCCCGAAAGCUAUUUAGGUAGCGCCUCGUGAAUUCAUCUCCGGGGGUAGAGCACUGUUUCGGCUAGGGGGCCAUCCCGGCUUACCAACCCGAUGCAAACUGCGAAUACCGGAGAAUGUUAUCACGGGAGACACACGGCGGGUGCUAACGUCCGUCGUGAAGAGGGAAACAACCCAGACCGCCAGCUAAGGUCCCAAAGUCAUGGUUAAGUGGGAAACGAUGUGGGAAGGCCCAGACAGCCAGGAUGUUGGCUUAGAAGCAGCCAUCAUUUAAAGAAAGCGUAAUAGCUCACUGGUCGAGUCGGCCUGCGCGGAAGAUGUAACGGGGCUAAACCAUGCACCGAAGCUGCGGCAGCGAACGUAUCACCCAAGACAACUUUACGGAGUUGACGAUUGACGGAGCGAAGCGACGUCAAAGCGUUCAUUAAAGUCGAGUUGGCUUAGGGAUACGUUCGUUGGGUAGGGGAGCGUUCUGUAAGCCUGUGAAGGUGUGUCGUGAGGCAUGCUGGAGGUAUCAGAAGUGCGAAUGCUGACAUAAGUAACGAUAAAGCGGGUGAAAAGCCCGCUCGCCGGAAGACCAAGGGUUCCUGUCCAACGUUAAUCGGGGCAGGGUGAGUCGACCCCUAAGGCGAGGCCGAAAGGCGUAGUCGAUGGGAAACGGGUUAAUAUUCCCGUACUUGGUGUUACUGCGAAGGGGGGACGGAGAAGGCUAUGUUGGCCGGGCGACGGUUGUCCCGGUUUAAGCGUGUAGGUGUGUGUUCCAGGUAAAUCCGGUUCACUUUAACACUGAGGCGUGACGACGAGGCACUACGGUGCUGAAGCAACAAAUGCCCUGCUUCCAGGAAAAGCCUCUAAGCAUCAGGUAACACGAAAUCGUACCCCAAACCGACACAGGUGGUCAGGUAGAGAAUACCAAGGCGCUUGAGAGAACUCGGGUGAAGGAACUAGGCAAAAUGGUGCCGUAACUUCGGGAGAAGGCACGCUGACACGUAGGUGAAGUGAUUUACUCAUGGAGCUGAAGUCAGUCGAAGAUACCAGCUGGCUGCAACUGUUUAUUAAAAACACAGCACUGUGCAAACACGAAAGUGGACGUAUACGGUGUGACGCCUGCCCGGUGCCGGAAGGUUAAUUGAUGGGGUCAGCGCAAGCGAAGCUCCUGAUCGAAGCCCCGGUAAACGGCGGCCGUAACUAUAACGGUCCUAAGGUAGCGAAAUUCCUUGUCGGGUAAGUUCCGACCUGCACGAAUGGCGUAAUGAUGGCCAGGCUGUCUCCACCCGAGACUCAGUGAAAUUGAACUCGCUGUGAAGAUGCAGUGUACCCGCGGCAAGACGGAAAGACCCCGUGAACCUUUACUAUAGCUUGACACUGAACAUUGAGCCUUGAUGUGUAGGAUAGGUGGGAGGCUUUGAAGUGUGGACGCCAGUCUGCAUGGAGCCGACCUUGAAAUACCACCCUUUAAUGUUUGAUGUUCUAACGUGGACCCGUAAUCCGGGUUGCGGACAGUGUCUGGUGGGUAGUUUGACUGGGGCGGUCUCCUCCUAAAGAGUAACGGAGGAGCACGAAGGUUGGCUAAUCCUGGUCGGACAUCAGGAGGUUAGUGCAAUGGCAUAAGCCAGCUUGACUGCGAGCGUGACGGCGCGAGCAGGUGCGAAAGCAGGUCAUAGUGAUCCGGUGGUUCUGAAUGGAAGGGCCAUCGCUCAACGGAUAAAAGGUACUCCGGGGAUAACAGGCUGAUACCGCCCAAGAGUUCAUAUCGACGGCGGUGUUUGGCACCUCGAUGUCGGCUCAUCACAUCCUGGGGCUGAAGUAGGUCCCAAGGGUAUGGCUGUUCGCCAUUUAAAGUGGUACGCGAGCUGGGUUUAGAACGUCGUGAGACAGUUCGGUCCCUAUCUGCCGUGGGCGCUGGAGAACUGAGGGGGGCUGCUCCUAGUACGAGAGGACCGGAGUGGACGCAUCACUGGUGUUCGGGUUGUCAUGCCAAUGGCACUGCCCGGUAGCUAAAUGCGGAAGAGAUAAGUGCUGAAAGCAUCUAAGCACGAAACUUGCCCCGAGAUGAGUUCUCCCUGAGACUUUAGGUCUCCUGAAGGAACGUUGAAGACGACGACGUUGAUAGGCCGGGUGUGUAAGCGCAGCGAUGCGUUGAGCUAACCGGUACUAAUGAACCGUGAGGCUUAACCUU
rnacentral:rRNA from 1 species